GACGAACGCUGGCGGCGGGCUUAACACAUGCAAGUCGAACGGAAAGGCCCUGCUUGUUUGGGGUGCUCGAGUGGCGAACGGGUGAGUAACACGUGAGUAACCUGCCCUUGACUUUGGGAUAACUUCAGGAAACUGGGGCUAAUACCGUAUAGGAGCUCCUCCUGCAUGGUGGGGGUUGGAAAUUUGCGGCGGUUGGGGAUGGACGCGCGGCUUAUCAGCUUGUUGGUGGGGUAGUGGCUUACCAAGGCUUUGACGGGUAGCCGGCCUGAGAGGGUGACCGGCGACAUUGGGACUGAGAUACGGCCCAGAGUCCUACGGGAGGCAGCAGUGGGGAAUAUUGCCCAAUGGGCGGAAGCCUGAUGAAGAAACGCCGGGGGCGGGAUGACGGUCUUCGGGUUGUAAACAGCUUUAGCCUGUGACGAAGCGUGAGUGACGGUAAUGGGUAAAGAAGCACCGGCUAACUACGUG
rnacentral:rRNA from 1 species